rnacentral:misc_RNA from 1 species
CUAGAGGCAGCCUGUGAAGAACUGAGAAGUAGUAGGAUGUUCUUGAAACUUCUAGAAGCUGUGCUCAAGACAGGGAACCGCAUGAAUGUUGGGACUAACCGUGGUGAUGCCCAUGCCUUCAAGCUUGACACGCUUCUCAAGCUUGUUGAUGUCAAGGGUGCAGAUGGAAAGACCACACUCUUGCAUUUUGUUGUACAGGAAAUUAUAAGA